UCGGACGUGGUGCAUGGUGGACAUCCGUUUCUUAUAAGGGAUCCCGUACGUUAUAAUAAGGCGGGAGAACUGGGUUCAAUCCCCAGCGUCCGAA